rnacentral:rRNA from 1 species
CAGGGAAUCUUCGGCAAUGGACGAAAGUCUGACCGAGCAACGCCGCGUGUGUGAAGAAGGUUUUCGGAUCGUAAAACUCUGUUGUUAGAGAAGAACAAGGACGUUAGUAACUGAACGUCCCCUGACGGUAUCUAACCAGAAAGCCACGGCUAACUACGUGCCAGCAGCCGCGGUAAUACGUAGGUGGCAAGUGUUGUCCGGAUUUAUUGGGCGUAAAGCGAGCGCAGGCGGUUUCUUAAGUCUGAUGUGAAAGCCCCCGGCUCAACCGGGGAGGGUCAUUGGAAACUGGGAGACUUGAGUGCAGAAGAGGAUAGUGGAAUUCCAUGUGUAGCGGUGAAAUGCGUAGAUAUAUGGAGGAACACCAGUGGCGAAGGCGGCUCUCUGGUCUGUAACUGACGCUGAGGCUCGAAAGCGUGGGGAGCAAACAGG